rnacentral:tRNA from 1 species
GCCGGAGUGGCGGAACGGCAUACGCGGCGAGCUCAAACCUCGCUGCCCGAGAGGGCUUGCGGGUUCGAGUCCCGCCUCCGGCA